UGGAAGGUGCUCCAGGAUAACAAAGAAGGGC
rnacentral:piRNA from 1 species